rnacentral:rRNA from 1 species
CCCCGUACACAAAAAUGCACAUGCUGUGAGCUCGAUGAGUAGGGCGGGACACGUGGUAUCCUGUCUGAAUAUGGGGGGACCAUCCUCCAAGGCUAAAUACUCCUGACUGACCGAUAGUGAACCAGUACCGUGAGGGAAAGGCGAAAAGAACCCCGGCGAGGGGAGUGAAAAAGAACCUGAAACCGUGUACGUACAAGCAGUGGGAGCCUCUUAAUGGGGUGACUGCGUACCUUUUGUAUAAUGGGUCAGCGACUUAUAUUCUGUAGCAAGGUUAACCGAAUAGGGGAGCCGAAGGGAAACCGAGUCUUAACUGGGCGUUAAGUUGCAGGGUAUAGACCCGAAACCCGGUGAUCUAGCCAUGGGCAGGUUGAAGGUUGGGUAACACUAACUGGAGGACCGAACCGACUAAUGUUGAAAAAUUAGCGGAUGACUUGUGGCUGGGGGUGAAAGGCCAAUCAAACCGGGAGAUAGCUGGUUCUCCCCGAAAGCUAUUUAGGUAGCGCCUCGUGAAUUCAUCUCCGGGGGUAGAGCACUGUUUCGGCAAGGGGGUCAUCCCGACUUACCAACCCGAUGCAAACUGCGAAUACCGGAGAAUGUUAUCACGGGAGACACACGGCGGGUGCUAACGUCCGUCGUGAAGAGGGAAACAACCCAGACCGCCAGCUAAGGUCCCAAAGUCAUGGUUAAGUGGGAAACGAUGUGGGAAGGCCCAGACAGCCAGGAUGUUGGCUUAGAAGCAGCCAUCAUUUAAAGAAAGCGUAAUAGCUCACUGGUCGAGUCGGCCUGCGCGGAAGAUGUAACGGGGCUAAACCAUGCACCGAAGCUGCGGCAGCGACGCUUAUGCGUUGUUGGGUAGGGGAGCGUUCUGUAAGCCUGUGAAGGUGGCCUGUGAGGGUUGCUGGAGGUAUCAGAAGUGCGAAUGCUGACAUAAGUAACGAUAAAGCGGGUGAAAAGCCCGCUCGCCGGAAGACCAAGGGUUCCUGUCCAACGUUAAUCGGGGCAGGGUGAGUCGACCCCUAAGGCGAGGCCGAAAGGCGUAGUCGAUGGGAAACAGGUUAAUAUUCCUGUACUUGGUGUUACUGCGAAGGGGGGACGGAGAAGGCUAUGUUGGCCGGGCGACGGUUGUCCCGGUUUAAGCGUGUAGGCUGGUUUUCCAGGCAAAUCCGGAAAACCAAGGCUGAGGCGUGAUGACGAGGCACUACGGUGCUGAAG